rnacentral:lncRNA from 1 species
CAAAGCAAUUUAAAACAACAAUCAUGAUUUUCCAAUUAUUCAACUUGAAUUUGAAUUAAAAUUGGGCGCGAAUGAGUAGAGUGCGAACGGACCUUGGGUGUGAACGUGCGAGGUGCGAAAGUGUAUUGGGCGCAAACAGACCUGAUACCACAUAGUCUGAACCCCCUUCUCCCACAAAAAUAUGAUGUAAAUUAAAAACAAAUUGUUCAGAGAACAAUUGAAGUCUUUCCACUAGAAAAGAUCUAUUUUUAUAUUGAAAUAUGAAAAAUCAGUUUAAAAUGUUAGUUCCUAUGGCUUUAUGACGUCCUAUUAACCUAUGACCUUGACCUCAAUUUCAAGGUCACAAACCAUGGACCUUGAAUCAAAAUAUCCUAGGUCUUUAAUAUGUUUGGUUAAUGAGUACUACCACUUGACGCGUAAUUUUAAAUGUAAGAUGGACAAAAACUCCCUUUUAUUGUAUGCGCAGCCUUUCAACCAAAAUAUACAAGUAAGGACAUGUCGCAACUAAUAAUUUAUGAAAAAUUAUUUGUCAAAAUGUCAUACAGUAUUUGAAAAGAAGUGAAAAUAAGCCAAAAUCAAAAUUUAUAAUAUGACCUUGACCUUUGACAUUGACCUCAUUUUCAUUUUUAGUACCAAUGACCUCAUGAAGACCCUAGGUCUCUAUCAGUUAUGGUUUACCAGUUGAAAAUGCAUAUCGCUUGAAUCAAAUGAAAAAGGGGGAAUAACUCUCAUAUGGAGUCCCCAUAGAGCUAUGGUUCAAACGAAUAUUCUUAUCCUAAAUAUGUAACGAGCAAUUUGGUAAAAUAAAAUCUUUUACGGUUACGAAGGAGAGGUGGCCACAAGAAAAACAGUGUUUGGGGAGAUAACUCUUACAACGUAAUGUAUUUUGUUAUAAUUACAUUUGAUAUAUGUUUCAUUAUAAUACUUUAUUCUGAUUGGCUAACUGCACAUCACAUGUUAUUCCUCAAGCAAUUGCAUCACUCAAUAAAACUUUUCAUUCAUGAUAACACGUGGUCCCACAAUAAAGUGCACAGAUGAAUUGAAUAAAAAAGUUAUAAAAUUCGUGUUUUCAUGAUCCUAGCUAAAAAAAGUAAUUAUAAGUAUUGAAUGUUUCUUUUUUUGUAACCUCAUAGGGUUGCAAAAGCGUUGACCGUGUGCACAUUUUUAGAAUGAAGCGCUUACGCUUACGCGCUUCAUACAAAAAGUACUUCGGUCAACGCUUUUACACCUCAAUGAAUUUACAAAAAAAAAAGCAUUCAAUACUUAAAUGCAGUUGUAAAUUUUUAAAGCAAAAAGAGUUAAUACUAACUUUCACUUUUUUGGAUGUUCAUGUACAUUUUGAAUGUAUUUAUUUUUCUCAACUACAUGAAUUUUUUGGUGUAUUUUUAAUGAUAUAUAUGAGUAGUCCAAAUAAUUAUUACGUCUGGCAAGGCUUUUUAAAUUUUAUUCUGGGACACCUUCCUAUGACCACAAGGCUAUGUUAAUUUUUUUCUGGGACGCCUUCUUAGGAAGCCUUCCUACGAACGUCUUAGGAAGGCGUCCCAGAAAAAAAUAAAAUAGCCUUGUCAGACGUCAUUAUUAUUUGGACUAAUACAUGAGAUAUUGGAUAUUUUUAUGCAUUAUUUAACCAGUUGAGUCUUUUACAGGAUUGUUUGUUUAAUGCUGUUUAAACAUUACUGAAAAAAAACCCACCUUAAAUUUGCUAAUUAUUUGGCAUGAAAGUUUGAUUUAUUGAAAGGGACUCAUAGUUUUCCAUUUAAUUUUAAUAAUUGUCUAAUGGUUAAAACAAUAGCUUCGUUGUUUACUUUUAUACACAACAACAUAUUCACUUUGGUUUCGUUGUUUACCUAAUAUUCACUAUGUACUUGGUAACAGUUAUUAAUUAAUUGAAUAGAAAAUAUUAUAAUAAAUAUUAUUGGAAGCCGAAUUGACGUCAAAUAGGUGCCGAUUUGACUAGAUGCCAAUUUAACCAGGUGCCG